GUAGGGUGCAAGCGUUAUCCGGAUUUAUUGGGCGUAAAGGGUCGCGUAGGCGGAUAGGUAAGUGGUGGGUUAAAUGCCACGGCUCAACUGUGGAGAGGCCCAUCAAACUGCUUAUCUUGAGUCUGUUUGGGGAGGUUGGAAUUCUCGGUGUAGGGGUGAAAUCCGUUGAUACCGAGAGGAACGCCAAGGGCGAAGGCAGGCCUCUAGGACAGCACUGACGCUAAUGCACGAAAGCUAGGGUAGCAAACCGGAUUAGAGACCCGGGUAGUCCUAGCCGUAAACGCUGGACACUAGCUGGCCCGAUUUUUAUUGCUGGCGUAAGCUAACGCGUUAAGUGUCCCGCCUGGGGAGUACGACCGCAAGGUUA
rnacentral:rRNA from 1 species